CACGGGGGGGGCAAGCGUUGUUCGGAAUUACUGGGCGUAAAGGGCUCGUAGGCGGCCAACUAAGUCAGACGUGAAAUCCCUCGGCUUAACCGGGGAACUGCGUCUGAUACUGGAUGGCUUGAGUGUGGGAGAGGGAUGCGGAAUUCCAGGUGUAGCGGUGAAAUGCGUAGAUAUCUGGAGGAACACCGGUGGCGAAGGCGGCAUCCUGGACCAUUACUGACGCUGAUGAGCGAAAGCCAGGGGAGCAAACGGG
rnacentral:rRNA from 1 species